rnacentral:rRNA from 1 species
UGCGUAGGUGGCAAGCGCUAUCCGGAUUUAUUGGGCGUAAAGGGAACGCAGGCGGUCUUUUAAGUCUGAUGUGAAAGCCUUCAGCUUAACCGGAGUAGUGCAUUGGAAACCGGGAGACUUGAGUGCAGAAGAGGAGAGUGGAACUCCAUGUGUAGCGGUGAAAUGCGUAGAUAUAUGGAAGAACACCAGUGGCGAAAGCGGCUCUCUGGUCUGUAACUGACGCUGAGGUUCGAAAGCGUGGGUAGCAAACAGG